GACGAACGCUGGCGGCGUGCCUAAUACAUGCAAGUCGAGCGGACGAAUCGAAAGCUUGCUUUUGAUUCGUUAGCGGCGGACGGGUGAGUAACACGUGGGCAACCUGCCCUGUAGACGGGGAUAACACCGAGAAAUCGGUGCUAAUACCGGAUAACAUGAAAUGUCGCAUGACGUUUCGUUGAAAGACGGCGCAAGCUGUCGCUACAGGAUGGGCUCGCGGCGCUUUAGCUAGUUGGUGAGGUAAAGGCUCACCAAGGCGACUAGCCGUAGCCGACGUGAGAGGGUGGUCGGCGACACUGGGACUGAGACACGGCCCAUACUCCUACGGGAGGCAGCAGUAGGGAAUCUUCCGCAAUGGUCGAAAGUCUGACGGAGCAACGCCGCGUGAGCGAAGAAGGCCUUCGGGUCGUAAAGCUCUGUUGUUAGGGAAGAACAAGUAACGCAGUAACUGGCGUUACCGUGACGGUACCUAACGAGAAAGCCACGGCUAACUACGUG
rnacentral:rRNA from 1 species